rnacentral:rRNA from 1 species
AGUGAUGUCUGGGAAACUGCCUGAUGGAGGGGGAGUAACUACUGGAAACGGUGGCUAAUACCGCAUAAUGUCUACGGACCAAAGCAGGGGCUCUUCGGACCUUGCACUAUCGGAUGAACCCAUAUGGGAUUAGCUAGUAGGUGGGGUAAAGGCUCACCUAGGCGACGAUCUCUAGCUGGUCUGAGAGGAUGAUCAGCCACACUGGGACUGAGACACGGCCCAGACUCCUACGGGAGGCAGCAUG